rnacentral:rRNA from 1 species
AGUGAACGCUGGCGGUAGGCCUAACACAUGCAAGUCGAACGGCAGCACAGUAAGAGCUUGCUCUUACGGGUGGCGAGUGGCGGACGGGUGAGGAAUACAUCGGAAUCUACUUUUUCGUGGGGGAUAACGUAGGGAAACUUACGCUAAUACCGCAUACGACCUACGGGUGAAAGCAGGGGAUCUUCGGACCUUGCGCGAUUGAAUGAGCCGAUGUCGGAUUAGCUAGUUGGCGGGGUAAAGGUCCACCAAGGCGACGAUCCGUAGCUGGUCUGAGAGGAUGAUCAGCCAAACUGGAACUGAGACACGGUCCAGACUCCUACGGGAGGCAGCAGUGGGGAAUAUUGGACAAUGGGCGCAAGCCUGAUCCAGCCAUACCGCGUGGGUGAAGAAGGCCUUCGGGUUGUAAAGCCCUUUUGUUGGGAAAGAAAAGCAGCAGGUUAAUACCCCGCUGUUCUGACGGUACCCAAAGAAUAAGCACCGGCUAACUUCGUG